GAUGAACGCUGGCGGCGUGCUUAACACAUGCAAGUCGAACGAUGAAGCCCAGCUUGCUGGGUGGAUUAGUGGCGAACGGGUGAGUAACACGUGAGUAACCUGCCCUUAACUCUGGGAUAAGCCUGGGAAACUGGGUCUAAUACCGGAUAGGAGCGUCCACCGCAUGGUGGGUGUUGGAAAGAUUUAUCGGUUUUGGAUGGACUCGCGGCCUAUCAGCUUGUUGGUGAGGUAAUGGCUCACCAAGGCGACGACGGGUAGCCGGCCUGAGAGGGUGACCGGCCACACUGGGACUGAGACACGGCCCAGACUCCUACGGGAGGCAGCAGUGGGGAAUAUUGCACAAUGGGCGAAAGCCUGAUGCAGCGACGCCGCGUGUGGGAUGACGGCCUUCGGGUUGUAAACCUCUUUCAGUAGGGAAGAAGCGAAAGUGACGGUACCUGCAGAAGAAGCACCGGCUAACUACGUG
rnacentral:rRNA from 1 species